GGUGGAAGGAUGGAGGAAUGAAAGAAGGAAGCGAGGGAGGGAGAAGGGAAGAGGGAGGCUGGCUUACCUGGCCACCCCUGCCGCCACUCCUGUUCCCCUUUACCUCCCCCUGCUCUUUCCUGUUUGUCACAGGAUUUUUCACCUUCCUACAUAAAGUGUAAGUUGCCUGUUUAUUGCCUUUCUUGUAUCAAGUGCAUCUCCCUUGUUAGAACACAAGCUCCCAACGGGCAGUGCUCUUUGCCUGUUCUGGUCAGGACUCUGUUCCGCUGGGAUCUGGACCCGUGCCUGGUACACAGUAGGUAUUCAACAAAUACGUGUCGGAUGAACGGCCCGAUGGAAGACAGACCUGCCACCUCCCGUGCUGCCCUCCUGAGAGGAAGGACAAAGAGGAGGAAAAGGAGAGAAGAGGAGGGAGGGGAGAGGGCCAGGGAGGAAGGCGGAGAGGGCGGGAGAGAGCCCAGGGCUGGGACCCCCUCCCCACACACCUCCCCAGUUGCUGGGGGAGCCAUCCCUGAGUGGUCAGUCCCGAGAGGCAUGGGAUUAGGAGCUCCCAGGGACGUGGGACCCUAGGCAAGGCGCCCCAGGGUCGGCAAAGAUCCAAAUCUGGAAGCAGACUGCCUGUGGACUUCCAGGAACUCAGAGGGCUUGGGUCCCAGCGCUCAGCGGAGCCCUGGACGGCGGCAGCCCACAGGGCCUUUCCUCCCACACACCUGCAUUCUGGGAAACACCUAGGCCUCCAAGAUUCGGCAGAAAUUCUGGGAGGGAGGGAGAGAGGGAGGCAGCAGGGACUGCAUGUCCACCUUCGGCCUCCAGGAGGAAGUUGUGGGGCUUCCGGGGGCCCUGUCCUCCCUUAACCCUGUCCCUGCAGCUGGGGACGCCUCGUCCCAGCUUCCUCCUUUGCUCCUGUCCAUGUCCCUGAAGGAAACAGAAACAGAAAGAGCCAAAAAGAGGGAGAGGAAGAAGGAGACUUCUUUUUCUGGGAGUUCUAUCCUCUCCCAGGAAAGCAAGUGUCUCCUUUUUCAGAGAGGGAGCCUGAGGCCUGAGAACAGUUUCCUAGCCAGAGUGAUGCAGCAAGGAGGCAGCAGAGCCAGAAAAGAAGACGAAGAGAGCCCAUGACCACACUGAUGUGCGUGGAUGGAACGGUGCUGGCCACAGAGCCAAUCCCUGGGCCCCGGCUUCCUCAGCUCUGGAGGAGGGUGCCAAGACCUGCCUACUCGAGACUAUUUCAAGGAGCUUGGAAAAGUCUGGGGAGUGGACAGCGUGCAGCACAGAUGGUGGGUCACGAAGGGGUGCCCUGGGGGCUCCAGAUGGAGGAAGUCAGAGGAACAGAUGCCGGGAGCCCCCCUCUGUGGUCAGUGCUGCAGGCCUGUCUCCAGCAGGUGGAAAUAGCCAAAAUGUUGAUGGUGGCCAUGAUCUACACCACACCCUGGGCCACCUACUUCACAUUCAUUAGCUCUAACCAAAGGUCUCCUUCAGAUGGUUACUAUAGAUCCGGUGUUAGAGAAGAGAAAAUUGAGGUUCAAAAAGGUAAGUGACCCGUUGAAGGUCACACAGGUAGUGGCGGAGCUGGGAUGUGAACACGGCUCGUUCGGAAUCAGAAGUCCAUGCGCUUUCCGCACUGCAGUGUGCUGUUAAAUGUUAACAACGGUGCUGGUGUUUCUCCCCGCACCCCUCUGUGUGGAUGAGCUGUGGUGGGGAAGAGUAGGAAAUGAUCUUCACUGUCUUCACGGAGCCCUGUGUCAACUCACCCACCUCAAAGCUGCAGCUGCAGAAAAUUCUGGAACCCACCCUUCAGCUCUCCUGUGCCAGGAAAGUGCUCCCUCCGCCCUUUCUCUUCUCUCUGUCCCCUGCACCUCCCUCCUCCCUUCUUUCUGUCUCUAGUGAACUUUUUACCAAAGUAUAAUAUACAUACAGAACAUUACACUUAC